GUACUGUUGAAGAGUCCCAUAAUAGGACGAAACGACCGUCCAGUGC
rnacentral:hammerhead_ribozyme from 1 species